rnacentral:rRNA from 1 species
ACGCUCGACACCUACGGGAGGCAGCAGUGGGGAAUAUUGCACAAUGGGGGAAACCCUGAUGCAGCGACGCCGCGUGAGCGAAGAAGUAUUUCGGUAUGUAAAGCUCUAUCAGCAGGGAAGAAACUGACGGUACCUGACUAAGAGCACCGGCUAAAUCGUGCCAGUAGCCGCGGUAAUCUGAGCGGGCUGGCAAGGC